CCGUAAACGAUGUCUACUAGCCGUUGGGAGACUUGAUUUCUUAGUGGCGCAGCUAACGCAAUAAGUAGACCGCCUGGGGAGUACGGCCGCAAGGUUAAAACUCAAAUGAAUUGACGGGGGCCCGCACAAGCGGUGGAGCAUGUGGUUUAAUUCGAUGCAACGCGAAGAACCUUACCAGGUCUUGACAUCCUGAGAAUUUUCUAGAGAUAGAUUAGUGCCUUCGGGAACGCAGUGACAGGUGCUGCAUGGCUGUCGUCAGCUCGUGUCGUGAGAUGUUGGGUUAAGUCCCGUAACGAGCGCAACCCUUGUCCUUAGUUGCCAGCACAUAAUGGUGGGAACUCUAAGGAGACUGCCGGUGACAAACCGGAGGAAGGUGGGGACGACGUCAAGUCAUCAUGGCCCUUACGACCUGGGCUACACACGUGCUACAAUGGAACGCACAGAGGGCUGCAAAGGCGCGAGCUGGAGCGAAUCCCACAAAACGUUUCGUAGUCCGGAUUGGAGUCUGCAACUCGACUCCAUGAAGUCGGAAUCGCUAGUAAUCGUGAAUCAGAAUGUCACGGUGAAUACGUUCCCGGGCCUUGUACACACCGCCCGUCACACCAUGGGAGUGGGUUGCAAAAGAAGUGGGUAGACUAACCUUCGGGAGGUCGCUCACCACUUUGUGAUUCAUGACUGGGGUGAAGUCGUAACAAGGUA
rnacentral:rRNA from 1 species